UGCCAGCGCCGCGGUAAUACGGAGGGUGCUAGCGUUGUUCGGAAUUAUUGGGCGUAAAGCGUGCGUAGGCGGACUGUUAAGUCUGAUGUGAAAUCCCGCGGCUCAACCGCGGACGUGCAUUGGAUACUGGCAGUCUUGAGUCCUGGAGAGGAGAGCGGAAUUCCUAGUGUAGAGGUGAAAUUCGUAGAUAUUAGGAGGAACACCAGCGGCGAAAGCGGCUCUCUGGCUCGAUACUGACGCUGAGGUACGAAAGUGUGGGGAGCAAACAGGAUUAGCUA
rnacentral:rRNA from 1 species